rnacentral:rRNA from 1 species
UUGAACGCUGGCGGCCUGCUUUACACCUGCCAGUCGAACGGCAGCGCGGGCUUCGGCCUGGCGGCGAGUGGCGAACGGGUGAGUAAUGCAUCGGAACGUGCCCAGUAGUGGGGGAUAGCCCGGCGAAAGCCGGAUUAAUACCGCAUACGACCUGAGGGUGAAAGCGGGGGACCGAAAGGCCUCGCGCUAUUGGAGCGGCCGAUGUCGGAUUAGCUAGUUGGUGGGGUAAAGGCUUACCAAGGCGACGAUCCGUAGCUGGUCUGAGAGGACGACCAGCCACACUGGGACUGAGACACGGCCCAGACUCCUACGGGAGGCAGCAGUGGGGAAUUUUGGACAAUGGGGGCAACCCUGAUCCAGCCAUGCCGCGUGCGGGAAGAAGGCCUUCGGGUUGUAAACCGCUUUUGUUCGGGAAGAAAUCCUCUGGGCUAAUACCCCGGGGGGAUGACGGUACCGGAAGAAUAAGCACCGGCUAACUACGUG